rnacentral:rRNA from 1 species
AGGAUGAACGCUGGCGGCGUGCUUAACACAUGCAAGUCACGGGGGUUUGAGGCGCAAGCCUUGAGCAACCGGCGAACGGGUGCGUAACACGUGAGCAACCUACCGAAAUGAGGGGGAUAGCCGGCCUAACGGCCGGGUAAUACCGCAUAAGCUCAGGACCAGGCAUUUGGAUCUGAGGAAACCUCCGGGGCGUUUCGAGGGGCUCGCGGCCUAUCAGCUAGUUGGCGAGGCAAUGGCUCACCAAGGCGACGACGGGUA